AGUAAUAUAUACCAUAACGUGCCUCUUAGUCUGGGAUAGCCAUUGGAAACGAUGAUUAAUACUAGAUAUUCCUUCUCUUUAUAGUAAGAGUCGGGAAAGGAAAGCCUUUGGGUUUUUCGCUAAGAGAUCGGUCUAUAUCCCAUCAGUUAGUUGGUAGGGUAAUGGCCUACCAAGGCAAUGACGGGUAGCGGGUUUGAGAGGAUGAUCCGCCACACUGGUACUGAGACACGGACCAGACUCCUACGGGAGGCAGCAGUGAGGAAUAUUGCACAAUGGAGGAAACUCUGAUGCAGCAACGCCGCGUGGAGGAUGACGCAUUUCGGUGUGUAAACUCCUUUUAUAAGGGAAGAAAAUGACGGUACCUUAUGAAUAAGCACCGGCUAACUCCGUGCCAGCAGCCGCGGUAAUACGGAGG
rnacentral:rRNA from 1 species